rnacentral:rRNA from 1 species
AGUGAACGCUGGCGGUAGGCCUAACACAUGCAAGUCGAACGGCAGCACAGUAAGAGCUUGCUCUUACGGGUGGCGAGUGGCGGACGGGUGAGGAAUACAUCGGAAUCUACUUUUUCGUGGGGGAUAACGUAGGGAAACUUACGCUAAUACCGCAUACGACCUACGGGUGAAAGCAGGGGAUCUUCGGACCUUGCGCGAUUGAAUGAGCCGAUGUCGGAUUAGCUAGUUGGCGGGGUAAAGGCCCACCAAGGCGCCGAUCCGUAGCUAGUCUGAGAGGAUGAUCAGCCACACUGGAACUGAGACACGGUCCAGACUCCUACGGGAGGCAGCAGUGGGGAAUAUUGGACAAUGGGCGCAAGCCUGAUCCAGCCAUACCGCGUGGGUGAAGUAGGCCUUCGGGUUGUAAAGCCCUUUUGUUGGGAAAGAAAAGCAGCAGGUUAAUACCCCGCUGUUCUGACGGUACCCAAAGAAUAAGCACCGGCUAACUUCGUG